rnacentral:rRNA from 1 species
AUUGAACGCUGGCGGCAGGCCUAACACAUGCAAGUCGAGCGAGCGGCGGACGGGCGAGUAAUGAAUGCCGGAUGAUCGACAGAGGGGGAUAACUAAUGGAAACGGAAGCCAAUACAGAAUAUUAUCGGUUAACCCAUAGGGGAUUAGCUAGUAGGGGAGGUAAUGGCUCACCUAGGCGACGAUCCCUAGCUGGUCUGAGAGGAUGAUCAGCCACACUGGGACUGAGACACGGCCCAGACUCCUACGGAGGCAGCAGUGGGGAAUAUUGCACAAUGGGCGCAAGCCUGAUGCAGCCAUGCCGCGUGUAUGAAGAAGGCCCUAGGGUUGUAAAGUACUUUCAGUCGGGAGGCGUUACCGACAGAAGAAGCACCGGCUAACUCCGUGCCAGCAGCCGCGGUAAUUC